GAAAAUUUUGAUAAUUGUUCUUUUGCCGUAAAAAGUCAAGAGCAUUCACUUAGGGUGAGUAAGAAAUAGGUUGGGGAGAAUGAAAAUGAGAAUCGGUAAGUGCCACAACUUGUGAAAAACCGAGCAAGCAUUGAAAAAAAUAAAAAAAUAGAAAAGAGAAACAUCUGUUUUGUGAAUACGAUGUGAAAAGAAAAGAAAAGAAAAUAGAGAAAAUGAAAAUGAA
rnacentral:lncRNA from 1 species